UACAGAGGGUGCGAGCGUUAAUCGGAAUUACUGGGCGUAAAGCGCGCGUAGGCGGCUUUGCAAGUCGGGUGUGAAAUCCCCAGGCUUAACCUGGGAACUGCAUUCGAGACUGCAUUGCUAGAGUAUUGGAGAGGGAAGUGGAAUUUCCGGUGUAGCGGUGAAAUGCGUAGAUAUCGGAAGGAACAUCAGUGGCGAAAGCGACUUCCUGGACCAAUACUGACGCUCAUGUGCGAAAGCGUGGGGAGCAAACAGG
rnacentral:rRNA from 1 species